rnacentral:rRNA from 1 species
GAUGAACGCUGGCGGCGUGCUUAACACAUGCAAGUCGAACGGAAAGGCCCAAGCUUGCUUGGGUACUCGAGUGGCGAACGGGUGAGUAACACGUGGGUGAUCUGCCCUGCACUUCGGGAUAAGCCUGGGAAACUGGGUCUAAUACCGGAUAGGACCACUUCUUGGAUGUUGUGGUGGAAAGUUUUUUCGGUGUGGGAUGAGCUCGCGGCCUAUCAGCUUGUUGGUGGGGUAAUGGCCUACCAAGGCGUCGACGGGUAGCCGGCCUGAGAGGGUGUACGGCCACAUUGGGACUGAGAGACGGCCCAGACUCCUACGGGAGGCAGCAGUGGGGAAUAUUGCACAAUGGGCGCAAGCCUGAUGCAGCGACGCCGCGGGGGGGAUGACGGCCUUCGGGUUGUAAACGCCUUUCGCUAGGGACGAAGCGUUUUGUGACGGUACCUGGAGAAGAAGCACCGGCUAACUACGUG